CUCUCUCUCUCGUUACUAUCGGAGCAGCGCCACCACCGUCUUCCGUCUGUAGUCGUUUAUUUGGGUUCCUUUGCUCCGAUCUGAGAUCGUUUCCUCUUCUCAAUUCGUUGUUUUGAGCGUGAUGAUUGUAUAAAUGUCGCCCCAGUCUUACGAAUCCUGUCGUUCUUCGAUCGGAUUGUUUAUGGUGAUGGACAUUUCUAUCUGAUUCCUUCUCAAGCUUCUCUUUGAUUAUAUUCGUUUGAUUCUUCGUUUUAUUGCUUGUGUCUCUUGUUUUAUUGGAGAACUGAUGAUUCCAGAUCCAUAGACUUCAUUCUGUAAUCCAGAUGAUGAAUCAUCAUUAUACAUGCACUACCAUCUGAUCUCCCUUUCAAGUAAUUUUUUUUUUUGUCAUUUGGGUUUUUUUUAAAGCUGAAUCUGAUUUUUGUUUGAUUUGGUAAAUACGAUAUGCAAUCAAGGAUGAAGUUAUUAUGAUGCUGAUUUCCAUGAUUAUUUCUAACAAAUUAUCACCAUCUUUCGGCUGAGAUUGCACGAACUCGUUUUUUUCAAGUUUUAUUGAGAAUUUUUUACCUGUAAUAUGUUGAUGCCACGAGGUAUCUGGUGCUCUGUUAAUUUAUGGCUGAGCACCUCGUGAAAAUGGCAGAGAUGGAAGGGAGGACAGGCCUUGCGACACUGGUUGCUCAUUUUGUAAGUGUGCUUCCUGUUACUAAAUCCUGUUCACAUCUUAAAACUAAUAUUGCAUUUUGAGAUUAUUUCAUGGGAUAUGAGAUUGAUGAUUGUUGUGCAUUUGGAAAGGAAGAACAGAAGAGAAGAAUUAUCCAUGUUUAUAUGCGAAGAAAAGGGCAGCUGCCUUUUGAACUCCACAUAUGGAUAGGCCAUGGGGAUGUCUCCACACUCUACCUUCCACCUGAAGAUAAAUCCCAUGCCGCAAAUCACCAUUUACAUGAAUUCAUUUUCAUGCAGUGUUUAGGCCAAAAAAAUGGCUUUUAGCAUACCUGAAGUUGAGUACCAUGUAGUGGAGGAAGAAAGCAGCCUCUACCUUGGCAAGUUCUGAUCCUGGGCAAAAGCCUUGGACCACCACCAAAUGGUGUAAAUUUCUUGCUUGUUUGUUUCUGAUCCUAUUCACCAUUUACAUGAAAAAGCUGGACUUUAGAUUACCAAUAUUAGUUUGAUUUUACAAGAAAAAUGUUCAACUUGUUUUGAGGUCUUAAUAUCAUAAGUAUAAAAUUUUUGGAUGCAUGGCAUUUCAUACUCCAAAAGUGAAACUGAUAAUACAGCAUAAUGUUACUUCUGCAUCAUCAAUGAUUCAGGUCUGGAAGAUGAGGCUUCUCAUAGAAGAUAAGUGAAAUCAAUGUAAGAAUGCAACAAAAUUCUUGUGACAAAUUACCUUCUUCCAUCUCCAAGGGAAAAAUGAGGGUUCUCAUAGAAGAUAAGCGAAAUCAAUGUAAGAAUGCAACAAAAUUCUUGUGACAAAUUACCUUCUUCCAUCUCCAAGGGAAAAAUUCAUGAGGAUUUUUGUAGAGAGAGGAAUCCAAAUGUGCUGCACUAAACACUGGAAGGACUUUCCAGCCACAUGGGAUAAAGUAAUCUGGUUAAAGAACAUAGAAAUUAAAUAUUCUAUAUAAUUACAAACUAUGUGUAUGAAAAAGAUUCAUCUAAUGCAUCCAUGCUUCAGAGCAAGUGGAAGUACACCUUUGUAUCUGACAUCCUUCAGAGCUUUCCUGUGAACAAACUUGACAAUGUUUCCACAUCUUAAAGUCUCAUUGAUGACCUAAAAGAGAACCUAUCUUAUUAAUCCACACUGUGUAUAAGGCUUCAUGUAAUUCAUCCUCUGACCUACAUUCUGAGUAAAUUCCAUUUUCUUGUAGUCUUCUGGAGUUAAAUCCUCUUCUUUUUUGUUGGCUCUAAUGGUUUCAUGCUCCGACUGAAAACAUUGCAGGAAUAGUUUCAAUAAUUAACUAAUACAGAUGGAGAGAUAGAGAUCUUACCUUGAGCUGCUCUAGAGCUGAUGGACAUUGCCCAAGAAAGUAUACAACCAUGGAGAUCAGAAGAGAGGUUGUCUCAUAGCCACCCAACAAAGCAUCCAGAACAAAACUGACCUUUUCCUCCUCAGAUAGGUUGCUAGCUGACAGCAAUUCAUCUAGGAAGUCACCCUUCUUGCUGGAAUCUCCUCCAUUUUGUCUCGUACAAGUAUGUUUUUGACAGUGGAUGAUAUCCUAGCUCUUGCCUGUAAAGUUGUGUUAGGAUAUGGAGAUUAUCUCCAAUCAAAUAAGAAACAAAAUUUACCUGUACAGCUUUGGCAUAGGAGGUCCCUGGAAUGUAAAGGGGGAAGGAGAUGAGCCCCUUCAUGAAGGUAAGGAAGUCUUCAAGAAUUCUUUCAGUCUCCGACUCACCUUGCGACAUCCCAAGCACUUGUUUCACUAUAACUCUGAAAGUGAACUAUCAACAAGAGGAAGAUCCUUUGCUUGCCCUUCCAGGCGGCGAUGACUUCAAGAGCGAUCCUGCCUAUGUCAAUAAGAUAUCCAAGUAUGCCAUGGAUAGGACGGGGAUAGCUGCACUGGAAGAGUUUCUCCUCGUUGUGAAGAAUGAAAUGGUUCAGUUCCUGGUCGCAUGAGACGAUCGUCGGUGUGCAGAAGAGAUGUGACUUGAACACCUUCCCGUACCUGCUUAUACUCAAAACAAACUUUUACUUCCUUUCUUUGAUGGACAUGUAGAGACAAUUGUGCAGGAGGAAAAAUCAUUACCUGGCACAAUGUUCUUCCAGGAAACGUCCAAGAGUGUAAGAGGCAUGUGGAACCAAAAAUCUUAAGGUCUCACCAAUAAAAGGCCAGCCAAAGUUCCCUCCUGGAGCAACUCCAUGAUUCAGUAACAGGGGAAGGAAAUGGUUCAACACCAGAAUCAACAUCACCACGAACAACCCGGCCAUGAGAAGAACACAGAACAGUUCCCCCUCCAUCUUCUGUUCUCUUGGAGAGAACUGAUGAAGCUUCUUCUCUAUAAAGAGUGCAGUCACAUCAUUGUCUAAACUAUUCAUCAUUCCUCUUGUUUUGGCGGGGGGCAAUUAGAUUCUUGACUUGAAUAGCCACUGACAAGCUCUGGUCGUUGGCGGUAAAUUCGAUUCUACCUGUACCGGCACUGCCC